rnacentral:rRNA from 1 species
CCUACGGGUGGCAGCAGUGAGGAAUAUUGGUCAAUGGCCGGAAGUCUGAACCAGCCAAGCCGCGUGAAGGACGAAGGCUCCAAGCAUUGUAAACUUCUUUUGUCAAGGGAUAAAAUGAGGCUCGAGAGCCUUGCCUAGGGUACUUGAAGAAAAAGCAUCGGCAAACUCCUUGCCAGCAGCCGCGGUAAUACGGAGGAUGCGAGGUUUAUCCGGAUUUAUUGGGUUUAAAGGGGGCGUAGGCGGACUGUUAAGUCAGAGGUAAAAGCCCGGGGCUAAAACUCGGCUAGCCGUUGAAACUGGCUGUCUUGAGAUGACGAGAGGUAUGCGGAAUGCGUAGUGUAGCGGUGAAAUGCUUAGAUAUUGUGAAGAACUCCGAUCGCGAAGGCAGCAUACCGGCGGCGAACUGACGCUGAGGCUCGAAAGCGUGGGUAUCGAACAGGAUUAGAUACCCUUGUAGUC